CGGAAUCUGACCGAUCUGGAUACUAAAUCAGCAAUGGGAAACUCAUCUCUGCCCCCUCAGGAUGAGUUGCAUAGCUCCUCAGCAUGCUGCAUGUGGAGAUUUCUGAGCUCUCAGAACACAGCAGUUCUCAACUAGGAGUGGAUGUCAGAAUCGCCUUGAUUGGCCUGGAGGUGGCGCCGCUGCUGUUGGUCUGGAACCACGGGACCAAGACUCAGGAGGGUCUGGCAAAUGGAUGAGGAUGUCAUCCAGCGGAAGAGGAUGCCCAGAAGGCCAGGCUGGACCCUUUUAUCAGCCGCUGGAAGAAAGCAGAGAUAUUGCCCAAACCUAAGAGCACUGAUAUGUCUUCCACAUGCUCAAGACUUAUCUUGAAAUCUGUUUUUGACUCCUGUUUCCUGAGAUCCAGAGUGAUCUGGGUUUUAAAUACAACACCCUGGUUUCUU
rnacentral:lncRNA from 1 species